rnacentral:tRNA from 1 species
UGGCCUAAUGGAUAAGGCGUCGGACUUCGGAUCCGAAGAUUUCAGGUUCGAAUCCUUG